UCCCGGCGCGUCCCGGCGCCGCCUGGUGGUGAGGAGCCGCCGUGAGCGCACAGCGCGAGCCUGCCAAGCGUGCGCCCACUUCCCGGAGGUGCGGACCUGCGAGCAGGCUUGCAGGCAUCUCCUGUAUGUCACACAUCCAAGGAGGAAACGCACCUGUGUGCAUCAGAGGGGGCUCUCCGUAGACUUCUCUCUUCCCACUGCACAGAGCUGCAGAGUUCUCUGGCAAUAUCUGAAGCAUUUUAAGCAAGUCGUCAAUCCAUUUCUACUGAGGAGUAUUGGAUGUGCCCCGGGGAGAGAAAGCUUGAGGCUGGUCCCCUGGCCCACAGUGAGUCCUCGUAUUGAUGCUGGAUGGACAGAGUGGACGCAAUGAUGCCCCAGCCUGACACUUCAUGACUCCAUGGCUGUGAUGCUUGGGCCGCACCAGAGAUUCCAAGACGGGAGAGUCCAUCCAUCCUUCAGCUCAAGUGAAAUCUUGGUCUGCAGCGGGGAGGGGAGAGAGCGGAAGAGGAAGCACAGAGAAGGAACAGUAUGUGAAGACAGUUCACAUCUCAGUAUGAAGAAACCCACCAGGCUCAAAUUCACUGGAAACCCAAUCUGAAGUAUUACUGUAUCCCCAGCAACCACAGCAACUAUAACCAGCACCAUCCCGACCACCACCACUGCUACCAGCAUGUAUCACGAGCUCACCGUGGACCACAUCUGGUGCCCCCAUGGCUGGAAUCCAUCGGUGUUCAAAUCCCUAGGUGAGAAAUCGCCAGCCAUUAAGUCAUCUGAUUGGCUAAACGUCCUAAGCAUCUGAAACUGAGAAGACAAUGUGCGUCUGCUUUUUUUGUUUUUCAUCCACACCAGAAAGUAAUGAAGCGGUGGUUGGGAAUUUUAAGCAGCAGCUUCAGUCAGGCUGGGUGGUUUAUAGAGAUCAACUUACCCCCUUGGAGUGCUCAGCAACCAACCAGAAGGCUUUCCCAAACCAAGCAAUUUUAUAAUUAAGUGAUAAUUGUUUUUUGGAGGGUUUUUUUUUCCCCUGGGUAGCCUAGAGAAAGAUAAACAGCUGCAGGAAUCAAUAAGCAUCAAGGUCAUAGGCUGAAUUAUUUACCAGUUCUCUGCUAUUUAUCUCAAACUUUCCUCUCUACAAGGAAAAAAUUGUGUCUACUUCACAUGAGAUUUAGAAUGUACCUGGUUUAGUUUCACAGUUGUUAUUACUGUCUUUACCUUUUUAUGACUGAGCAAAAUUGCUGUUUCGUGAAUAAAGUCUAGAGAGUGGGAGCAUGGAAGGGUCUGAUGCCAGGGUUCAUUCACUGGGCUGGGCCCUAAGCUGUAGGAAUACUGGGGUUGGGGGAUGGGCAGCAAAAGAUGCAGGCUGUGUGCACCUAGCCCCAUACAUUGCUUAUUUUCAUGAUUACUACAAUAUCUCCCUAACAGCCCUCCUCACCUUCUCGUUCUUAUCCCACCCACUAUGGAUGCUGCAAUCAGUCAAAAUGAUCUUUCCUAAACCCAAAUCUGUCAAUUCUCUAUGAAGAAGUCUCUAGGAUGAUCUAAAUCCACAUAAGGAAUCCAUCCGUACACUCCUUAUGGGUUUUGCAGCAUCGUUCCCCUCUGUGCACACCUGGCCUCAUGUCCUGCUACUCCCUGACUUCCUCACUAAAUUCCUGCCGUACUUCUUUGAGUUCUUCAAACCUACCACGCUCUAUCCCCUCAGGGUCACCUCAGCUGUUGGUCCUGCUGGAAUAAUAUCCUUCUCUUUCCCAGGGUAAGCCCAACUCAUCUACAUUCUAUUAGCCCCCCCUUUUAAGUCUGGGUGAUUGCCACUUCCUGGGUCCCCCCAGAGCACACAUCCCAACCCCCAUGACAUGUCUUGGGUCAUUUGAGAUGAAGGACCAUGCUUAUAUGAGCAUGUAUUAUAUCACUAAUAAUAGUUCAAUGUCUAGUCUAUAAUAGAUAGUCAAUACCUAUUUGUGCAGUUGAUGAAGGAAUCUCAUAAGUUACCUUGGGCCACGGAGAAGGAAAUGGGGCUCAGGGAAAGUGUUGCCUGGUAGAAUGUUGCUGUGAAAUUGUAACUAAGCCUCUCUGAAAAGCACCUUGCUUGCCUUCGGCUGAACCACACGCUAACAGAAAAUAGCUGUGAAGGUUUAAAGAAAGCACGAUACGCUAUAAAAAUUAAUAUUAAAACUC